UCCCCACGUUGCACACUCUCUCCCUCUCUCAAAAAUGAACAAACAUUAAGAAAAAUUAAUAGGAAAAUGAUAGUGGCACUUAUUGAACACUUCCUAAGUAACAGACCUUGUGGAAAUCCUUUAUAUGCCUUCUCUUACUUAGUUCUUUUUGAGAAAGGGAACUGAAGCUUGGAAAGGGUAAGUAACCUGCAUAAGGUCCCUCAGCAAGUAUAAUAAAUCUAUAUUCAAACCCAGCUAUGCCUAAAACCCUAUGCUCUUAAUUAUCAUACCACUAGUUGGGCAGUGAGACUUGAAGAAUGUGAGGCCUGACAGCUGGCGAAUGGUUCAUUUUUAAUCACAACUUAAGAAGGGAUGUAGUAAGGAUAAUAAAUGAGUAUCUAGGAAGCAUGGCCCAUUGUAGGGGUUAAACUUCCUUCACCUUCAGUUUCCUUGUCAGUGCCCCUGUUAUAACUCGGUUGUGUUUUCUGGCUACCACGUGGUGUUUACCAGAAAAUUCUCCACCGUCUUCAUCUUAUGGUUGAAGAAUCUGGGGGAAUGGACCUGACUUACACACUCCAAAUGCUCUGGGGCUCUCUAUGGCUGCAAAAGAGCAGAGUUGGGGAAAAACCAAGGAGGAGCUACAGGCCUCUUUCGUGAUAUGUUCUUAUGAAAAGAAAACAAAGGAGAUCUAUCAGUUCGGCAUUACCCCAUUCUCAAGAGAGUUCUUUCUUAAAGUUUGAAGAAAACAAGGUAAACACAGGCCUGGGAAGCACUGAGCGUGGUUUUGACUCUAGCUCUGAGGUUCACGCUGUACUCAUAACAUCCUGUUCUUCUCUGCUGGCUGUGAUGUGUAGAUAGCGGUCCUCUGCAGGCUGCAAACAGCUGAGUUCAUUUUUCGGAAAGAUGCUGCUCCUCGAGACUGAGGAAACGAGCCACUCCUGCUCUCCCUUUGUCACUUUUACGGUUAAGGAUGGGUACUCCCAGUCGCUCUGAGAAUGCACUUUCCCUCUGCUCUAAAAUUAGGUCUUUAAUUCCUUUGGGAUAUUUGGCAAACUGAAAUUCACUGGAAGCCCAGGGGGUAUUAGUGAGUGGGGCAAAAAAGUCUCCAAAAAAAAAAAAAAAGAAGAAAUCAUGUGUUCAGCAUAGGAGAAAUCUGCUCCGCUGAACCCUGCAGCUCUGGGCAGGAAAGGAAGGCUAGCUGUCGGGGACAGGUGUGAUCAGGGCCUGGUACUGAGGAAAAACAGUGUCAGUGAAGUCACCUGCCAUCCGAGGGACUGGGCCUUAUGAUUCUCAUCCACCUGUUCCGUAGAGGGCUGGAGGGCUGAGAGAUGACUUUUUGUGCAAUAUAUUUAUCAGCUUCCAGUGAACUUGUGUCUAAAAAUCGCACCUACAACAAAGACAAAUGGAAUGAAAAAUAACAUGCCACUUGUGUGGUCAUGGAGCUGACCCCAGAUUAGUUCACGGCGUGUGGAGAUGCUGAAGGCACAACUGGAGUUAGCAGUGACUUACAAAGAAGGUGUUUCCCUUCCGUCUUCACUGAGUUGCAGAGUCACCAAUCUGCCAUCCGGGAGACAGACAACAACAGUGGGUGUGUGUGUGUGUGUGUGUGUGUGUGUGUGUGUCUUGAAUGGCUUGCUUUCCUUAGAGAGUGUAAUGAGUAUCCCGUGAUUGUGCUUCUCUUUGGGCAGAUCCCCAGCUUGCCUCAACACUGGAAUCACGAAGGUGCUUUAAAAAGGAUAGAAAGAUCCUUUGUCAAACCCAGGCCUACAAAAUAAAAAAAGAAACCCUAAGAACAAGGCCAUCUGUAAUUUUAUUUAAGUGAUUCUUAUCAUCAGCCAGAAAAGCACCUCUCUAGUCUUCUCCAUUGAGAUGAAUAAAUCCAUCAGAUUAGCAACUCGCCAUGUGAGAUCUGUGGACACAACCAACAGGGCAGGUCAGCCUUCAAUUAGGGGCAAAGAGUAGUGAGGGAAGAGGAGGAUUAGAGGGACGUGGCAGAAGCAAGACCCGGAUGAUGUGGGCCGCAUGGAGGCAUCUCUCCGCAACGCUCCACGUGGGCUGAAGGGGGUUCUCGGUAUGGCUGUCUGAAUGGUUUUGAAGAUGGGUUUGUCAAAGGAACACAGUGGCAAAGCCCACUUGGCCUCUUUCAAGUGAAAACGAAAAUCCUGCGUCUGGCAAUAGCGUCCACCAUCUCUAUGCUAUUCUUCAACGCGAGAAAUCAGAGCUCUCUAUUCAAACCCCAUUCCUUUCAGAGACAUGAAAGAGAGGAAAUCUGAACCCAGACUCUUCAUGCAAUACAUAGAGGUGAUCGUUUAGCCUCCCUUUUCCACCUAGGAGAGCCCAUCGAGGCUCAUUUACUCAUUCAAUCAUGCAAUUAACCACCGUUUAUCGAGCAAACGUAAAAGGUUGAAAAAAGGCAAAAUGGCCUGGUGGGUUCGUAGAAGUCUAGGUAAUUUACUAUGAUAAUGUGAGAGGAGAAAGAAAUGGAACAUGAUGUGGUGCUGGCAGCAUCCAAAUUAUACAGACUCUUAAAUGUCUCCACGUCUGUUGUAAGGAGAAGAACCUGGCACAACCCCAACACCUGAGCCUGUAAACACACAGUGGAAGAGAACAGAGGCUGCUCGGAGACAUGGGUCCGUAGGCGGAAACCCUUGCUUUCCAUACAUACAUACCUUGGGGUUGGGGUUGUAGGAAUCUACUUCCCGGAUAAGCUGGAUAUAUUGACACGGCAACUCACAACUUUCAAAGAAUUGCUAUAUUUUUUUUUCCAUAGCUGCAGAAUGUUGUUUUUCUUUUUUUUUUUUUUUUCCAAAAAAUGAAAACCACUUCUAGCUUCAAUUUUAAAUGCCUUAAUUUGAGAGACCAUUAGUCAUGAAGGUGUUUCCAUAGCAAAUGCGUGUGGGAUGUCCUAGCUUUGUUGGCAAUAGUUCAAGGGAACUUAUAUCAUUAAAUUGGGACAGGGCCUGGCAUGAUGGCGAGAAAGCUCAUGGCUGCGUUCCCAUAGCGUGAGGCCUCCAUUUAAGGGCAAGAUAAAGGAAAGGCAAAGAGCAGGAAGAGAAGCGCUGGAAUGAAAACAAGUCACAAAGGAAAGAUAAAAAUGGAAAUCCCAGUUCAGUGUGAAUAAUAGGAAUGCAAAUGGUGCUGCUAAAAUAGGAAGGAGCAUUACUUUUCAAAAAGGCAAAGCACAAGAAAAUUGUAGUAGCUAAAGCAUUUUGCAGGGUAAAAUUGUACGCUGUGUAUACCUCUCAGAAGCAAAGCCACCUACUCGAAUUUUUCCCAGCGCGAUGCUGUGAAUUUGAUGAUCUAACAAGUCUCACAGACUUUGAAGUCCUCCAGAUGUAAGGCCUUCACUUGUUACGCAAAUUUGGAAAAGGAAGAAAGAAAAGAGGAACACUUUUCGAAUCGCUCCUCCAACCACGGAAAUGAUUUUAAUUACCAAUUCAUCUGUUGGCAGACUUUUCUGGCAGAUGUACCUGCAGCUUGGAAAGAUAACAAAUGAACUGAUUCCUUACUCCAGAGUUGACACUGAUAGUGCUUGCCGAAUUUGCUCUCAGAAAAGAAUCCCGGGCAACAAUACAUCUGGCACUCUGCUCGAGGAAUUUGUCAUGUCGUUGACAUGUUCAGCCUCCAUUGUCCACUCCACCCCGACAGCAGGAGUGCAGAUCUGAUGGUGCGUCCGUGCGCAAAAUCCUCCCAGUGAUGGCUGGAGGGGAGCGAGCAGAUAAUACAUUGACAGAAUAGACACCAGUUCAUCAGCCUUUAUUAGCACCAACUCAUGGGAAUAUAGGAGGAGAAGAAACCUGUCCUAUCUUUGGCAUGUCUCAAUAGAAAUAUCCUUCAGGUUUAGCAGCCUAAAAAGUCUGUGUACCUCGAUCUAGAAUAUAGUGUGUCGGUAGUGUCAACAGCCCGUGGGCCAGCAAGUGUGGUCCAUGGAUCAGUGUGAUGCAAAAACUUUUACUGAUCCGUGACAAGAAUCAGUUCCAAACAGUAAGGCGUGCCAGGAAAAACAGACAAACUCUCAGGAACAACAAUGCCCAUUAUGCGUGGGGUAGGAGCUGCCAGACUUUGAUUACUGGCCAGACGUUAACCCCUUUGGUGUCUUAUGGGGGAAAUGCCAAGUCUGAAUCCAGACGCUUCCAGGAUCUUACAGUCACUCGUGGUGUGAGAACGGGCGAUUUGUAAAGACUCGUGCAAAAAAGGACUGCUGUGAGAAGGAAGUGCAAGUUCAAGGCCACAUCUCCUUGUUUCGUGAACUGUGCCGUGACUCCUUCUGGCUAGGUUACCUCUGCUUUUCCCUCUGCAGGCCUGCUCGUUGUGGGCGACAAACACACGGCUCUUGCCACGUGCCCCACCUGGGUUCGCAGCUGGAUGCCACAAGGAGAAGGCCAAGUUUGGUACUCACAGAGAUAACGUGGGGAUUCCUUGAGGCUACCACCUACAAUAAAGUUGCUAGAAAGAAUUCCUGAAAA